UUUGGAGGCAGGACCAUAUGUGCAGCAACUGGAAAACAUAGAGGGUCUGAAUUAAAAGCAUUCUGUAGAACCCUCAUAUACAAUAAGUUUUAUGCAGUGAUGAACCCAUGGAUACAUUCCAGCCAACAGAAAUGGGUGGUCCAGCCCUCAAUGAAAUUCUGCAGGACAGAUGCCCCACCUCCACAGGCCAGAUCCAUGUUAUCAUUACUACUACCACCAUCAUUACCUCAUUCUUUGCAAUACUAGGGAUAAAGAGAUUAAGACAGAAGAAAGGAAUCUCUUGGAAAUACACAACUGUGAUGAUUACGUAUGUCAGUUGGGUGCUGCUGUGAUGAAUUUCAGGGAAGAUGAAAAGGAUUUCCCUGGCAGCAAAAAGUCUCUAACACAAAGAAGAGAAAAUGAAGCAAAGCAGUUGUAUUUAUCUUUACAUCAUAACAGACAACCUUACUCCUGUUUUUGUGAUGUUUUCCCUGCUCUCAUCUUAGAAGGUUUUCCAUUUGAUAUGAAGUAUUAAUAAGAAAAGAAAUAAAAUCAGAAAUCUGGAUACAUUUGUCUUUCACAAUUUGUUAUAGAAGUGCCAGUUUGAUGUAUUUAAUGUGUCCUGAUUUUACUCUUUGCAGAUGGCUAAGAUACAGGAAGGGCUUAUCUAAAUAUUAGGAACAUAAUUGUGAUUUGAUAUAUCACCUCUCCUCUCCCUUCUACCAUAUAGCUCCAUUGUUGAGAUCAGCAAAGAGUCUCCAGCACCUUGAGGUAGGCCUGAUAAAUAAUCUGACACUGGAACCAAUGGCAGUUUUGCACCAGCUUUAUUAGGUGCGGGUUUCAGUUUCUCAGGUGUGGGCUGUAUGAGCCAGAACAUAUUAUACCUAGUAGGUGUCUAAGUGACAUAUCCAACACUAUCCACCUUGCUUUAGUCCUUGAAAACCUACCGAACAGAUCAGUAUUUGUAAUGCCUUAAGUUAUGGACUAAGCCUAAAUCGCAAAAAGCGGCAGGGAAGAAGAGGACUCAUUCACCUUUUACAGUAAUGUAUUUUUCAGGGAUUUGAACAGAGUGGAAUAGCAUUACUAACAAAUAGAAGAUCUGGCCCAAUGUUUUUAAACUUGGUCUCUAACUUGGUCUUUCACAACCUGAGUCUGUAAGCUUUCAUGCUAGAAAAAGUCUAUUUUCCCAGGCUGUUUAAGAAGGAUUGGUUAGGGACUGGAGUGGUUAAAUUCACAGGCACUUCUUUUGCAUGGUUUAAUGAAUUUAAUAGGUGCCCAGAAAAUAGGAUUUGGACUUAUAUAUACAUAUAGGCACCUCUCUUAUAAUAGUUUCAUAGUUGCUAGGGGCUGCUGGAAGGGACCUUACAGA